rnacentral:misc_RNA from 1 species
GAACCCCACUGGGAAAAGUUUAGGCCAACUAUCUACAGCGAGUCUUGCGAGGCGUGGGGCGAUCCACGUCUCUAAGCGUAGACAGCAAACUAUUUUGUGGACAUCAAUGCCACAACAAAUUUUGUAAACGAUUUUUAAAGUCAUCGAGAAAUUAUUUUCAAAAAAUUACGGAGAUAGACAGCAUUGACUGAUUGCA